GGCUGGAGGCCCGUAGGCCGCGUUCACCCAGCGCGGCCCUGGAUCAGCCCGGUGUGUGCCGGAGAGAUCCCCGCCGGGAGGAGGCGAGGGCCGCGGGCCCCGGGCAGCUCAGGUCCCUUCCCGUGCCCGCUGCCGCGGACAGAGCGGGCUCCGCAGCGCCGGGUGCCGCCCGCACCCGCAGCGCGGCUUAAUCGCGGUGCCAGAGGAGCCUGAGGCCGGUAAAAACCAAUAACCACGGAUUAAUAAAACAAAAUAUCAGAAUCUUCGCUAAAUCGACGCUUCGGUGUUCCAGCGCACGAGUGAAGUACCCUGGAGGUUCGCAUGGUUAUUCCAAGUGUGCAGUUUUGAGAGAAAAGUGAUGGGAGGAUUCUUACUGCCUGGGAUCUAAAGGCCUAAAUCACCGUUUUGCAAUUUUGAAAUCCUUUUACCAACGCAAUCAAAAUUGUUUUUUCAAUAACCUAGGUACAAUGUUUCCUUCUGCGUCCAAUAAGGUGCCCCAGAGGCUGGGGGAGCAAGGCCAGGAGAGCUGACCCGACCUGGCCAAAGGGAUGUGCCAUACACAGAGCAGCAUGGCCAGGAUGGAGCUGGGGGAGCUGGCUGGGAGAUACUGAUUGCUGCUGCAGGAUGACAGGCUGGACUUCUGU